rnacentral:sRNA from 1 species
AGAAGCAGCAGAAAGUCUAUUAAUAAACGGGAUAUAUAUGCUUUGCAUGAAGAAAUUUGGUCACAUGUGCCAAUUUAACGAACGGUGGAAAGUCAGAACUUCUGAAAUCAGGAAGUAGCAAAUCCACACUAAAGCACAUAUGGACAGAAAGCAGCAAAGACUUGUCUAUCAGCCGACUCCUGUCACAGACUUUUCGUGGCAAAGAGAAUGAUACAGAUUUGGACCUGAGAUAUGACACCCCAGAACCUUAUUCUGAGCAAGACCUCUGGGACUGGCUGAGGAACUCCACAGACCUUCAAGAGCCUCGGCCCAGGGCCAAGAGAAGGCCCAUUGUUAAAACGGGCAAGUUUAAGAAAAUGUUUGGAUGGGGCGAUUUUCAUUCCAACAUCAAAACAGUGAAGCUGAACCUGUUGAUAACUGGAAAAAUUGUAGAUCAUGGCAAUGGGACAUUUAGUGUUUAUUUCAGGCAUAAUUCAACUGGUCAAGGGAAUGUAUCUGUCAGCUUGGUACCCCCUACAAAAAUCGUGGAAUUUGACUUGGCACAACAAACCGUGAUUGAUGCCAAAGAUUCCAAGUCUUUUAAUUGUCGCAUUGAAUAUGAAAAGGUUGACAAGGCUACCAAGAACACACUCUGCAACUAUGACCCUUCAAAAACCUGUUACCAGGAGCAGACCCAAAGUCAUGUAUCCUGGCUCUGCUCCAAGCCCUUUAAGGUGAUCUGUAUUUACAUUUCCUUUUAUAGUACAGAUUAUAAACUGGUACAGAAAGUGUGCCCUGACUACAACUACCACAGUGACACACCUUACUUUCCCUCGGGAUGAAGGUGAACAUGGGGGUGAGACUGAAGCCUGAGGAAUUAAAGGUCAUAUGACAGGGCUGUUACCUCAAAGAAGAAGGUCACAUCUGUUGCCUGGAAUGUGUCUACACUGCUGCUCUUGUCAACUGGCUGCAAAUACACUAGUGGAAAACAAUCUGAUGUAAUUUCUGCCCAGUCAGCUUCAUCCCUCAGUAUAAUUGUAAAUCAUCACAGAUUUUGAA